rnacentral:pre_miRNA from 1 species
UUGUUACUCUCUCCGUUCGAAAAACCUUGUCCCAAGUUUGUCGUUCAAAUGAAUAUAUUUAGCACUAACUGGGUGUUAGAUACAUUUAUUUAAGGGACAAGGUUUUUCGGAUGAAGGGAGUACCUG